GCCAGGAGUGGUGGCGAAUACCUGUAAUUCCAGCAACUUGGGAGGCUGAGGCGGGAGAAUCACAAGUUUGAGGCUAGCCUCAGCAACUUGUUGAGGUCCUAAGCAACUUAGUGAGACCCUGUCUCAA
rnacentral:sRNA from 1 species